AACGCACCUUGCACUCUUUGGUAUUCCGAAGAGUAUGUCUGUUUGAGUGUCAUGAAACUCUCAACCCCCUUAUUUUGUAAUGAGAUAAGAGUUAGGGCUUGGAUUAUGGCUGCUUGCCGGAUCUUUAAGUAGAACCAGCUCGGCUGAAAUACAUGAGCAGCGCUUCUUUAAACUAAGGCGGCUUGACUCGGCGUAAUAGCUUAUUCGCUGAGGACGCUUGUUUAAUAACUAGUUGCUUCUAAAUCAAUCUAUACUUUAAGCUUUAGACCUCAAAUCAGUCAGGAUUACCCGCUGAACUUAA
rnacentral:misc_RNA from 3 species